AUCCGCACCGGGCCUUGGGGUGGAGUUUGGGUCCGUACCUAGACAUGUUAUGCGAGCAAUGUUUCAGGGCUUGUUUCUUGCUCCCCAAAUGGUUGGAGAGGUAGUAAAAACCACAGGGUGGUUUGCUAAUUGCAGAAGUCAUGUCAGCCAAGGGCUAUAGAGUUCAACCACUUCCAAGGGAGCCACGCCAUGAUAUUGUGCAGGCAGUAGAGCUUGGCAACAGGGAGAGACUCAUAGCAUUCUGUGAAGCCGUUCAACAAACUUGCCCAGUAGGAUCAUUUAUUAAGCCAACCGCUGGGGAAACUCCUGGUUAUGCUUCAGAGGUAUGUUUGUAUAACCCCCUUCUAUAAUCAUGUGCUUAUUGUUUUAGCUAUUUUCUAAUAAUAUAUUUCAUGGCAGUUUAUUCCAUGUAUUUACUAUUUUGCUCUAAAUGAUGAUAUGUUAUUGCUAUCUGCAUAGUUCCUUUUUUCUUUGAUACAACAGUGAUUAGUUCACUUGAAUCACAUGUCAAUUUUGCUGAUGGGACACUCAUGGAUGGAAGCACAAGUGAGCUAUCAUGUGACAGGCCCUUAAGAGAUCCAUACGCUGUCUUCUGUUAGAGAGGAACGCAUUGGACACAGUGGGCUCUUGUCCUGGGCGAAGUUCUGAAUGUCAUGUAGCUGUUUGUUAGCAGAAGAAAAAUAAAUAUUCAAGUCAUUUCUGAUCGAAGGUCUGGGUAUCAAGUAUUUGUGUUUGUGUCUACAAGCCUUUGACUUUUUUGUCCAGUCUAUUGUUUAUUUGCAAUGUUGGAUACUCAUGCCAUUUCUUGUGAAUAUUUUUUUUGUUUGUAGUAGUGUUAAUAUACUGUAUGUUAACUCUAUAUUGAAGAAUUUGUGAACAAUCAGUACUGCACCAGUGGUAAUUUAUAGAGGAAGGCAAGGAUAACUAUAU